GACAGAGGGUGCAAACGUUGUUCGGAAUUACUGGGCGUAAAGCGAGUGUAGGCGGUUUGGUAAGUCGGAUGUGAAAGCCCUGGGCUCAACCCAGGAAGUGCACUCGAUACUGCCAAGCUAGAGUAUCGGAGAGGUUGGUGGAAUUCUCGGUGUAGAGGUGAAAUUCGUAGAUAUCGAGAGGAACACCGGUGGCGAAGGCGGCCAACUGGACGAAUACUGACGCUGAGACGCGAAAGCGUGGGGAGCGAACAGG
rnacentral:rRNA from 1 species